CUAGCUUUUUUCAAAGGCAAUGCACAGGGUCUUGUAGACCAUGAAGUGGAGUCAGGUUCUUCUCCACAUUUCUCCAGCAGAGCAUUGCAGCAGGACUGAGCUGCAGAUUGGACAUAACACAUAUGAGCAAAGUUAUCGUCCAGGUGAUCCAGACAGGCUGGACCAGUGGAAGCUCAACAUGAGGCAGAACUGAACACUGACUCAUCUUCAGCACUGACUCCAGGGGCUGCCUCCUUCAGAGGGUGCAUUUGUGGACCAGUUGCAUCACUCUGCUGUCCCAAUUCAUCGGCUCCUUCAAAUGUGGCCGACAAAUGUUCCUUUCAAGCCCUGCGGAACGAAGGAUACACUGGGUGGCCCGCCCAGGCUAUCCCAGGAUUUAUGGCACGCCGGUUUGGAAGGGAAGUAAUGGCGGUCGACGAUAACGCAAACGGAGAAAAAAAAACUUUUAAAUACAGAUGCUGUCUGAAAACAUCCAACAAACUUCAUGAUUUGCGCUCCUUCUCUGCUCCAUAAAGCUUGAUGUGAGACAACUCACUUCGAACACUUUUGCCGACCGUCUUGAUGCUCUCUAAAACCUGUUCCUUCUAC